CAGAAGCCAGGGGAAGAAGCCUCCAGGGAGGAAUUGCCCAGAGAUGCUGCGGCUGCCUGAUAUGCUGCACUUAAGGCUAAUGGGGCUCCAGGAGCUCACCAGCUUUGUGACCUCUGAUGUUUCCUCAUCUCGUUCUCUACUGAUCAGAGCCAUUGGUGAUUAGAUGCUCAGCAGAGGUGUUUGUGCAGCCUUUGACACAUUGAAUCCCCUGCUGCCUGGAUUUCAAAAAGCUUUACUAAGGAACUGAUCCUACCAUGCAUUUUGCUUAAGCAAGGACUGCAGGUCUAUCCUAAAUGGCUAGCAGCAAUGGCGAAGCCAGAUGAGCCAAAUGCACAUGGAGCCAAAUCCACAUGGAGUCGACACACUGGUGAAAGGCAUGGAAAAUUACAGCAGUCCUCUAUCACAGUGGUAUUUCACAUGAACAAUUCCUUGGAUAAGAUCACAAAUUUACAUAUUCUUGUAUUUGGUUCUAUAAUAUUACUCAGCAAAAUUCCAAGCUGGGAGGUUUCAAAGAUGGGCUGUGAUGUGGUUGAAUACGCUUUGACAAACCAUUAAAUCAAUCCCUCUGUUUGGACUGGAAUCCCUUGGAAUUUAAGAAGAAGUUUUAUAUUUAUAGGAAGUUAUUGGCCCUCUCUUGCUAUCUUGUCACAACAAAGGAAAUGUAAAGAAGAGCAACUUUGAAAUCUAUAUAAUUAAUAUUAAAGGGAUGCUCUCACAGCUGACAGAUAGUGACUUUACUCACAGCAUUCUAAUUCUGCUAUGUAAAAAUGUUCUUACUCAACAGAUCUGCUGCUUUUGUGCAUCCCAAGUCAUCAUAUUUGCUGACUUCAGUCACAGAAAGAAGUUUUAAGUUACUUUUUUAUUUCCAUCAGUGCUGCAGAGCCUGUAUAGCCCUGACAAUGUAAGAUGGCUCUGGAAGACUUGGGGCUUGCAUCAAAUUUCUCCAGAGUUACCUUAAUGCAACCACACAAGACACUGGAAGUUCUACAAGUGUUCAAUUAUUGGGGGCAGCAUUUGGCCUGCUGAGUAGCCAGGGAGAAGCCAACUUGGUCAGUUGGCAUCUGUAGUGGGUCUGGUACAGUUCAAUGUCUUGAGGAAAGCAAAUGACUGAAUACUUAGUACAUUUGCAGAAGUCACCAAACUGGCUGGGAUAGCAAACACUUUACAGACCAGGAUUAGAAUUCAAAAUUACCUUGUUAAUUUGGAGCAAUGGUUUGAAAUCAAUCGGAAUAAAUUCAGUAAAGAAAGAUGCAAAGAAUAGGAUUUAGGACAGAGCAAUCAAAUGAAAAAAAUAGCAAUGGGGUAACAACUGACCAGUCUGAAGUAUUGCAGAAAAGGAAGAAGGGUCAUAUUGAGCCAUAAACUAAAAAUGAGUCAACAGUGUGCUCUUCUUGCAAAGAGUCAAUGGCAUCUUGUGUUGGAUUAAUAGUAGCGUCAUAUGCAAACCACAGGCAGUGACUCAGCCUCUCUACUCAGUACUGGUGAGGCCUCACUUAAAGUACUGUGUCCAGUUUGGGGCACCACUGCUGGAUUCUUUCUAAUUUGUCUUCCCUGAAGCAAUUUUCAUCUGAAUCAGGCAAGAAAUGACAAAGCAGGCAUUUUCAUGAUUCCCUGUUAUGGCCUAUAGGCGAAACAUUGAAACAGCGAAAUAGUUUUGAUGAAACUGGUGUUUUGAUAGUGUUUUACACAACCCUACUAAUUAGGCAUCUCACUGAGAUGCACCCAGAGUGAAGGUUGUUUAGGUGGUGAUAAUGCUUCCUGGCUUUGGGUCCAAGCUAUUUAAAAUCAUAAUGUUAAUGCAGGCUUUUUUGAUUGCUCCAGUUUUUGUCUUCAAUUUUAAUAUUCACUUAAGUUUUGUUGGGUUCUUGUUUUUUUGCCUCCCUUGAAAUCACGGUGCCUAAUUUCAGUCUUAAUUUGGGGUUUUUUUCUGUUUUGCUUGGGAGUUGCUUUGUAUUUUAAACAGAUCUUAUAAGAAGUCCCUUGACCCUUUGAUAUCAAUAAUGAUUUAAAAAAAAUAUGUAUUGGUGGUCUGGCUCAAUCUAUGAUUUUAUGAUGUGGUAUUUAAUCAAUAAGGUCAAGUCAGUUAAGAAAGCACAAUGGGGCUAGCAUUACCAUGAGGAAGCUGAUGUGUGUCUAAGCGGCUUACAGCUGCUAGGAUCCUAAGAUGUCUGCAACAGAGUUGUUUUGUGAGCAUGCUGGGGUUUGGAAGCUCCCUUGAGGAUUGAAGGUUAACCCAAAUUCUUGGAGGGAACUCAUUAUGAUUAUCAGAGUAAGGCUUUCAAAUAUGGUGCACAUGCAAGGUAAAGACACAGGAAUCAAAACGUAAAGGAAGAAGAACUCAAAUGUACUCCUGAAAAGAAAUGCAUUUGGGUAGUAUGUGGGAGCUGUCUUGUGACUUCUGAAUGUUUGGGGUGGGCAGCAGUGGGGUUCAUAUGGAUUGGAGGGUGGUGCAGCUAGUAAAUGAUGUCCUGAUCCUGCAAGCAACUUCAAGCAGGUGCACAGGUGCACCCAAGUGGAGUCCAUUGUGAAAUUAGCACCCACCAUCACACACAAUCAUAAAACAGAUUUAAAUUACACUUUUUAUUUAUUAAUUUAUUUUUUUUUUUACUCCAUGUGUACUAUGCUGAGUGGAACUGGGGAAAGUGGAGUUGGAUUGCAGGAGGGAUCCCACUUGCACUGUGAUAGCUAGUGCUGAGGAAAGAAAUCUGAGCCACAAAAUGGCAGCGUCUCAACACCUGGCCUCUCAGCAUGAUUAAUCAAGUUCUGCUUCCUGCAGCUCUGCCUAUGGCAUUGCUUAUUGCUAAUGAAACAUGAUGGCAGCAGUAAUCUGUAAGAAGCUCUGGUAUGUGGCACCCAAGAGUCUGAAACACUGUUAAGUAAGGAAACUUAAAAAAAAAAAAUAACUAAACAAAGCGAACUGUUGGGAAGUGCCAUAGUGUUUGAGUUGCUUUAAAAAAGUGCUCUGCAACCUUGUUUAUUCCCUGUGCAAUUGCAUAGGUUAUGAACCUUUUCUGGCCUCCUGGAUCCCAGCUUUCAUCUUGACCAUUAGAGAGAAAUGUUCACUCUUAUAGAACGUGUAUGCAGCAAUAUUAGGCCGCAGGAGGGUGAUUUAAAGGAUAGAGUGAGAACCUUAACUCGGGAUUUCUUUGCUCUUGUCAGCCUGUCACUACCUUUAAGUUAUUUUUAUGUCAUUUUUAUGUACUUUAUUACGAGCAAUAGCAUUCAGUUUAAUGUAGGGUGACCAGAUGCCCCAGCUUGACUUGAACAGUCUUGAUUCUUAAUUAAAUGUCCUCUAUGUGUCCUCUCUUUUCCUUGCUCGUUUCUCAAAGCCAAGGAAUUUAAUGCAGUUUUCACUUUCCUCUUAUUAGCAAACAUUGGUUCAUAUCUGAUUUUAUAGUUUUAUUAUACAGUCAGCUGUACAAUUUAAAAUUACAUUAUCAAGCUUCCUUAAAUAGUGUGGCUUUCAAUAUGCACUCCCUUUUUCAGAAGUGUAUCUCUAAUGCUUGUGUUAUUACACAGCAAUAAUAUACAACUUUAUAUUUUAUAAUCAUUAACUGUAAAAUAUAAGACAGUAAAAGUUUGUAAUUUACAAGGCUAUAAACAGCAUCCAUGUAUCUUAUUGGUUUAAAAAAAUGUAUUGGUUCAGUUUCACAUGCAUAUAUCAUUUUGAGAUGGAAUCUAUUAGAUUCUGAAUAUGUACAACAUAUUGGUUCCAUUAACACACGACAUUGUCACGUCUUUGAGUGAGAACAUUUAAAAAAAAAAAAAAAAAAAGCAUGGACUCUGUUAACUGCAACAGAUGUUUUCUAAAUAUGCCAAAUCAGAGAAGCUCAGCAGUCAUGAAAUGGCACUAGAAACAGGCCAAAAUCCUGCAAAUAAGUAUUGUUGUGCUUACUUUGUGCAUAUAGAAUAGUCUUGUUGAUUUUAAUGGGUCUGUACAUGUAGCUAAUAUUAGGUAUAUGUCCCAGAGUGGGCCAUAAAGCACUCCUGGUAAUAAAUUGGAUUGCUAACAUGCACAGGUCAUAUUUGUUCAUAUCUUGAACUUGCAUAGUGAACAUAGAUCAUUCUAAACCCUUAACCAUACUGAAGUUCAGUGCACAUAGGUUGCUUGUACCAUUUUUAGACUGAUCUAAGAUAGACCUCAUGUAAGGUACUCUCAAUUGAGAUUGAAUCAGGUUAGCUUAAUAUAUCAAACUUCUGUACUGUUCCCCUCUUCCCUUAAUUAGAUCACUGUCCUCUGGCACCUCAACCUGCUUUGUGGUGUCCCUACCACCCUCACAGGGAGCUGUACUAGCACUCAGCCUGUGCUUGCUAUUCAGCUG